GGGCUUGUAGCUCAGGUGGUUAGAGCGCACGCCUGAUAAGCGUGAGGUCGGUGGUUCAAGUCCACCCAGGCCCACCA
rnacentral:tRNA from 1 species